CAGCAGUCGCCGCGGGAAUACGUAGGUGGCAAGCGUUGUCCGGAAUUAUUGGGCGUAAAGCGCGCGCAGGUGGUUUAAUAAGUCUGAUGUGAAAGCCCACGGCUCAACCGUGGAGGGUCAUUGGAAACUGUUAAACUUGAGUGCAGGAGAGAAAAGUGGAAUUCCUAGUGUAGCGGUGAAAUGCGUAGAGAUUAGGAGGAACACCAGUGGCGAAGGCGGCUUUUUGGCCUGUAACUGACACUGAGGCGCGAAAGCGUGGGGAGCAAACAGGAUUAGAUACCCCCGUAGUCCCUGUCUCUUAUAC
rnacentral:rRNA from 1 species